CUGCAGCCCGAGUGGUGGUCGAUAUUAUUGAGCCUAAAGCGUCCGUAGCCGGACUAGUAAAUUCUUGGGUAAAUCGGGCAGCUUAACUGUCCGACUUCCGGGGAGACUGCUAGUCUUGGGACUGGGAGAGGUCAGAGGUACUCCAGGGGUAGGGGCUAAAUCCUGUAAUCCUUGGGGGACCACCAGUGGCGAAGGCGUCUGACUAGAACGGAUCCGACGGUAAGGGACGAAACCCUGGGGCGCAAACCGGAUUAGAGACCCGAGUAGUCC
rnacentral:rRNA from 1 species